rnacentral:rRNA from 1 species
UGUUCGCCCGGGAAUUACGAGCACUAGCUUAAAACCCAAAGGACUUGGCGGUGCUUAAGAUCCACCUAGAGGAGCCUGUUCUUUAACCGAUAACCCCCGUUAAACCUCACCCUCCCUUGUUUUUACCGCCUAUAUACCACCGUCGUCAGCCUACUCCAUGAGGAACUAAUAGUUAGCACAAUUAGCAUAGCCCAAAACGUCAGGUCGAGGUGUAGCAUAUGAGAGGGCAAGAAAUGGGCUACAUUCUCUAUACCAGAGUAUACGAAAAAUGUACUGAAAACCACACUAGAAGGAGGAUUUAGUAGUAAGUAGAAAACAGAGUGUUCAACUGAAAUUGGCCCUAAAGCGCGCACACACCGCCCGU